rnacentral:lncRNA from 1 species
GGUCAAGUCCGGAUCUAACAUGGCGGCCAACGCCACCACUAACCCUUCGCAGCUCUUGCCGCUCGGUAACCGGCGCCGCCGGCGCCACGCUUCCGCGCUCUCGCGGUGCCCCGGCGGAGCGGGGAGGGGGUCCAUCUGCUGACCGGCGGCCGGGGAGGAAGGGAGGGAGAGGCUGUUUGCGGGCUCCUCCGCCCUCGCGGGAGGUUUGAAUGGGGCGGGCGCGCUGGAGGCGCCUCGCGUCAGGCGGGUGUUUCCUUGCCCAGCCCUGGGCGGGGGGGAGUCGGUGGGUGUGGGGAGGGGUUUGGGGAUACUUGGGGGUCUUCUGGGUCGUGGCUGGGGGCGAGCGCUGGUGCUCGGCCGUCCCCCCCGUAACGAACCGCACGCUGGCGGCAGCAGGGUGCUCUGGUUAGGGAGAGCGUGGUCUUGCAGCGUUCGCUUGCUGCCUCAGAAACGAGUUUAUCUGCUAGCAGCGGUAGAGCGUGCAAGGAGACUCUUUAAAUAUAUAUCUUUAGUGUCUUUUUAGGACAAGAGGUAACGGCCUCAAGCUGCGCCAGGGGAGGUUUAGACUGGAUGGUGGGAAAAAUCUCCUCACGGAAAGGGUGAUCAGGCAUUGGAACUGGCUGCCCAGGGAAGUGGUGGAAUCACCAUCCCUGGAAAUGUUCAAAAACCGUGUAGAUGAGGCCCUCAGUGACGUGGUUUAGUGGUGGUUUUGGCAGUCCUGGGGUAACGGUUGGACUUGAUGAUAUUAAAAGCCUUUUCCAAUCUAGGGAAUUCUAUGAUUUCAUUAUUUCCCUAAUUUUUUUGUUUAUGUGUUUUGGUUUGAGGUUUUUUGUUGUUUUGUUGUGGUUUUUUUCACCAGUGUAUGUGGCAAUUACUUAUUUGCCAUCAUGGUGUCGGGGGGGGUGUCCUAAAAAAUGUGCAUUCCAUAAAAUAAUCUCUUGUGCAUGUUAAAUCUUUUGUUUGUUUUUAUUGACAGAGCUUGUGGACAAGUGCAUAGGUUCACGCAUCCAUAUCGUGAUGAAGAGUGAUAAAGAAAUUGUUGGAACGCUUCUAGGGUUUGAUGACUUUGUCAGUAUCCUUUAGUGCAAGUGCUUAAGGCUGUCCGCUUUAUGCUUCGGCUCAAUUCAUCUAUUGCUUUUGAGAGGUUUGAGUCCACUGGAUAGAACCUUCUUGUCUAGGUUAAUUGUGUUAUUCUGAUAUUCUUAAUUUACGGAUAAAAUCACAGUUCAGUAUAAAGUGAAAAUAAAUUUAAAUACUUUGAUUUUAAAAUUCUGGGCCUUAUUUUCCUUGAAACUGGAUUUUCAGAUAUGGUGUUAGAAGAUGUUACAGAAUUUGAGAUUACACCUGAAGGCAGAAGAAUCACGAAGCUAGACCAGAUUUUGCUAAAUGGAAAUAAUAUAACAAUGCUGGUUCCUGGAGGAGAAGGACCUGAAGUAUAAAUUGAUACGGUUGUCAUCUGUGAAGACAUGUUAUAUGUUUGUGUGUGUAUAUAUAUAUAUAAUAUAUAUAUUCUAAAUAGAGCCUUUGGGAUAUGAGUGUCAGUGGGUUUUGGCAUGGGCUGUUUGUUGGGUUUUUUAGUUACACACUCUUGCAGUUGACAUUUGAUAAAAGGCAAGGAUUUCACCUUCAGGAAAGGUACAUUGCUAACGGUAAUGCUGACCUUGUGAGUUGAAUCAUGACUUUUUUGUAAAAACAUACCAAUCUGUUCUGAAUAAAAUGCUUUCUUUU